CUAUAAUGCAGUCGAACGAGUUCUGAUUAUUGAAAGGUGCUUGCAUCUUGAUUUAAUUUUGAACGAGUGGCGGACGGGUGAGUAACACGUGGGUAACCUGCCCUUAAGUGGGGGAUAACAUUUGGAAACAGAUGCUAAUACCGCAUAAAUCCAAGAACCGCAUGGUUCUUGGCUGAAAGAUGGCGUAAGCUAUCGCUUUUGGAUGGACCCGCGGCGUAUUAGCUAGUUGGUGAGGUAACGGCUCACCAAGGCAAUGAUACGUAGCCGAACUGAGAGGUUGAUCGGCCACAUUGGGACUGAGACACGGCCCAAACUCCUACGGGAGGCAGCAGUAGGGAAUCUUCCACAAUGGACGCAAGUCUGAUGGAGCAACGCCGCGUGAGUGAAGAAGGCUUUCGGGUCGUAAAACUCUGUUGUUGGAGAAGAAUGGUCGGCAGAGUAACUGUUGUCGGCGUGACGGUAUCCAACCAGAAAGCCACGGCUAACUACGUGCCAGC
rnacentral:rRNA from 1 species